CACAGCAAAUUCUACGUUUAUAAAUAUAUUUAGACCCCUGCCAGUACUUUUAGCAGUACUAUACAAGCUGCAGCAGAGAAAUGAUAUCAGAUUCAUCACAGCUGGUAAACAGGUUGAAGGUGAAAACUCAAAACUUCUUCAUACUCUGGGCUUUCUCUGGCAUUUCCAGCAUAUCCUUGGGAAGAAAAUCCGCGAAAAAAUUCAUUUGCAAGAGAGA